GGCGCCGAGCCGGCGCGUAGCUGACUGAGUCGCACGCAUCUUGAGUUGGGUUUAGCGGUUUUUUACGGUAGCUGCUAGCUAACUAUUUUCCUGGGCAUUAAAAUCAUUGUUCCCGCUUCCUACCUAAAGGGAGGAGUUAACAACUGGUAGCGAGCGGCUGGCUUGUGUGGCGUUGUUGUUGACGAGGAAAACAGCUUCUAUGGGGUUAGUCUGGGACAGAUGAAGAAGCUCUGUUACUACUGGAAGCAUAUAAUUUCCAUUCUCUCCAGAGUCCGAAUCCGAAACGCUUAAAGUGGCAGUCGUGACAAGAUUUCCGAUGUUCCAAAUGUUGGUGCCAGGUUCCAAGCUGAGGAUCCUACCGGACAGCAAUAAAUUUCACCAUGUUGAAAGCUUCCACGCGAGUUCAAAAUCCCACCUUCCUGAUAAUCCAGAUUUCCAUAAGCUUCCAAGGAUCUUACUCUCUGGGCACACACUGAUAUACCCGUGUUACCAGAAUAAUGACCCAGAAUAUGAACCAUCUUGUAACCCUUCCUUGAACUCCUAGCUGCUUUUAGAAAGGAAUGUAGCUGGGCCCCAUGGCCCUCCUUUGUAUGCCUUCUCAUACCAAAGCAUGUCACUGGUGCUGUCAAUUGCUUGUUGCCUGAUGUAAAUGAAGAUUGAUCUGCAUAUAUGAUUGCUAAAGUAUCAUCUUGCAAGGUACUGCUAUGUAAAACCUAUGUAGGAUCAAAUGACUUUGAAUGUAUAAAUACCAGCUUGUAACUCUAAAUUUUCGCUCGCGAUUUGGGUACUACCCCGAUAGCCUUACUAUCUGCAGAAGUAAACCUUUUAAGCUUU